rnacentral:rRNA from 1 species
AGUGAACGCUGGCGGUAGGCCUAACACAUGCAAGUCGAACGGCAGCACAGUAAGAGCUUGCUCUUACGGGUGGCGAGUGGCGGACGGGUGAGGAAUACAUCGGAAUCUACUUUUUCGUGGGGGAUAACGUAGGGAAACUUACGCUAAUACCGCAUACGACCUACGGGUGAAAGCAGGGGAUCUUCGGACCUUGCGCGAUUGAAUUAGCCGAUGUCGGAUUAGCUAGUUGGCAGGGUAAAGGCCCACCAAGGCGACGAUCCGUAGCUGGUCUGAGAGGAUGAUCAGCCACACUGGAACUGAGACACGGUCCAGACUCCUACGGGAGGCAGCAGUGGGGAAUAUUGGGCAAUGGGCGCAAGCCUGAUCCAGCCAUACCGCGUGAGUGAAGAAGGCCUUCGGGUUGUAAAGCCCUUUUAUUGGGAAAGAAAAGCAGCAGGUUAAUACCCCGCUGUUCUGACGGUACCCAAAGAAUAAGCACCGGCUAACUUCGUG